CUCCAGACUCCUACGGGAGGCAGCAGUAGGGAAUAUUGCUCAAUGGGGGAAACCCUGAAGCAGCAACGCCGCGUGGAGGAUGAAGGUUUUCGGAUUGUAAACUCCUUUUGUUAGAGAAGAUAAUGACGGUAUCUAACGAAUAAGCACCGGCUAACUCCGUGCCAGCAGCCGCGGUAAUACGGAGGAUGCGAGCGUUAUCCGGAUUUAUUGGGUUUAAAGGGUGCGUAGGCGGACUGUUAAGUCAGCGGUAAAAGCCGGGGCCCCAACCCCGGCGAGCCGUUGAAACUGGCUGUCUUGAGAUGUCGAGAGGUAUGCGGAAUGCGCAGUGUAGCGGUGAAAUGCUUAGAUAUCGCGCAGAACUCCGAUUGCGAAGGCAGCAUGCCGGCUCCACACUGACGCUGAGGCACGAAAGCGUGGGUAUCGAACAGGAUUAGAUACCCCCGUA
rnacentral:rRNA from 1 species